CCCUUAGAUGUCCGGGGCUGCACGCGCGCUACACCGAAGGAAUCAGCGUGCUAAAACCAUUGUCGAAAGGCAUUGGUAAACCCAUUAAAAUCCUACGUGAUUGGGAUCGGGAAUUGCAAUUAUUUCCCUUGAACGAGGAAUUCCCAGUAAGUGUGGGUCAUAAGCUCGCGUUGAUUACGUCCCUGCCCUUUGUACACACCGCCCGUCGCUGCCCGGGACUGAGCCGUUUCGAGAAAAGCGGGGACUGCUGCUGUCGGGGCUUUCGGGCCUUGGCUUCGGUGGAAACCGCUUUAAUCGCAGUGGCUUGAACCGGGCAAAAGUCGUAACA
rnacentral:rRNA from 1 species